rnacentral:lncRNA from 1 species
CCGAACAUAAGAUCUCCUUCAUUUAUGUAUGAAGUUGACCCUGAUACCAAUUGAAAAUACUCUCGAUUUGCUAAAUGUUCCAAUUGUUUAUCCCAAUCGGUGUUCCAACACAUAUUGAAACUAAGCAAGUUAACAAAUAAAUUAUAAGAAAGCGAGGUAAAGAAAUAAAAAUAGCACACGGAUUUGUUAAUAUUGUUUGAAUAACAAUCCUACUUUGGAAAGCCUUGCUAGGAAUGAUUUUAUUUAAUAAUUGAUCCAAAACCUUGUUUGCUACAACCUAAUCCACCCUUACAACUAGGGAUAAUUGCAGCACAAAGAACUCCAAUUAUAACAAUCACUAACCCUAAACACCUCACUUACAAAUAAUGUUUACUCUCCAAAGAAUGCAUGAAUACACGAGUGCCACCAUACAUAGCAAAUAGGCUUGGAAAUUUAUGAAACAAGCUCUCACACUUUGGAAUUCGGAUGUUAGCCUUAGACAAAUUUUAAAUAAACUUUAGUACCAAGUAAGACUAAGUUAAAUACUUUAAUAUAAGGAUGAAGUUUGCUGCAAAUCAACCACUCCUCCUCCCAUGUGAAAAUAAUUUGCUUAUAGGAAACAAACCAAGAUUAAGCAAAUUAUACAUGCCAACAAAAUUCACUGUAUUUUAAUUGUUCCAACUUGCUGUCCUAAGUGAUGUUAGAACAUAUUUGGUAACAAAUAAACCAAAGGCAGUUGAAGCCCCAACAACUUUUUUUCUGGACCCAUUCACCUUGUACAAGGAAGACUUUAGCAACGGAAAAACAUUGAUCAUAAGGAAAGAAAUAAUGGUGAUGAAUGAAACCAUUAAUCUGGAUUGUGGGAACAUUAAGGUUACGGCAUUGAAAUUUUUCAAACAGGAGGCUGGGGAAAUCGGAUGGAAUGAUGAAGACCGCACUUUAUCUUAUUGAGGUGAGAAUCAAAAGGAAUUUUCUAAUUUGAAGAGAACUGGUUUUGAACAAAACGGUGUCAAUGGCAGGAAAAAGUGGAGUGGUGAUUGCGAAUGCUGAGCUC